AACAUUACGGGAGGCAGCAGUCGAGAAUAUUCGACAAUGGGCGAAAGCCUGAUCGAGCGACACCGCGUGCAGGAUGAAGGCCUUCGGGUCGUAAACUGCGGUAGCUAGGGAGGAACGCAAGUGACUGUACCUAGCGGAAAGAGGUGGGUAACUACGUGCCAGCACCAGCGGUAAUACGUAGACCUCAAGCGUUAUCCGAAUUUAUUGGGCGUAAAGCGCAUGUAGGAGGUUUCGUGCGUCUGCGGUUAAAGCCCACUGCUCAACGGUGGAAGUGCCGCGGAUACGGCGAGACUAGAGGAGGUUAGAGGUGCAUAGAACGCACGGUGUAGGGGUGAAAUCCGUUGAUAUCGUGCGGAAUACCAAAGGCGAAGGCAGUGCACUGGGACCUUCCUGACUCUGAGAUGCGAAAGCGUGGGGAGCAAACAAGGAUUAGAUACCCUUGUAGUCCACGCCCUAAACGAUGCCUGCUUGCUGUUUCGAGUAUCGACCCUCGGAGUGGCGGAGCUAACGCGUUAAGCAGGCCGCCUGGGAAGUACGGCCGCAAGGCUAAAACUCAAAGGAAUUG
rnacentral:rRNA from 1 species